GCCGAUGUGGCGGAAUUGGCAGACGCAGCAGACUCAAAAUCUGCCGGUGGCAACAUCGUAUGGGUUCGAGUCCCAUCAUCGGCA
rnacentral:tRNA from 3 species